CAGUAGCCGCGGUAAUACAGAGGGUGCGAGCGUUAAUCGGAUUUACUGGGCGUAAAGCGUGCGCAGGCGGUUAUAUAAGACAGAUGUGAAAUCCCCGGGCUCAACCUGGGAACUGCAUUUGUGACUGUAUAGCUAGAGUACGGCAGAGGGGGAUGGAAUUCCGCGUGUAGCAGUGAAAUGCGUAGAUAUGCGGAGGAACACCGAUGGCGAAGGCAAUCCCCUGGGCCUGUACUGACGCUCAUGCACGAAAGCGUGGGGAGCAAACAGGAUUAGAGACCCCAGUAGUCCCUGUCUCUUAUAC
rnacentral:rRNA from 1 species